UACGAAGGGGGCUAGCGUUGUUCGGAAUUACUGGGCGUAAAGGGCGCGUAGGCGGUUGCUCAAGUCAGGCGUGAAAGCCCCGGGCUCAACCUGGGAACCGCGCUUGAGACUGGGCGGCUUGAGUUCGGGAGAGGUGAGUGGAAUUCCCAGUGUAGAGGUGAAAUUCGUAGAUAUUGGGAAGAACACCGGUGGCGAAGGCGGCUCACUGGACCGACACUGACGCUGAGGCGCGAAAGCGUGGGGAGCAAACAGG
rnacentral:rRNA from 1 species